rnacentral:rRNA from 1 species
AUUGAACGCUGGCGGCAGGCCUAACACAUGCAAGUCGAGCGGAGCGGCGGACGGGUGAGUAAUGCCUAGGAAUCUGCCUGGUAGUGGGGGAUAACGUCCGGAAACGGGCGCUAAUACCGCAUACGAUUGAAUGAGCCGAUGUCGGAUUAGCUAGUUGGCGGGGUAAAGGCCCACCAAGGCGACGAUCCCUAGCUGGUCUGAGAGGAUGACCAGCCACACUGGAACUGAGACACGGUCCAGACUCCUACGGGAGGCAGCAGUGGGGAAUAUUGCACAAUGGGCGCAAGCCUGAUGCAGCCAUGCCGCGUGUAUGAAGAAGGCCUUCGGGUUGUAAAGUACUUUCAGCGGGGAGGCGUUACCCGCAGAAGAAGCACCGGCUAACUCCGUGCCAGCAGCCGCGGUAAUAC